AUUUUUUUGCAGCUCAUGAGUGUGAUGAUAUUGAGUGUUCAUGCACAUGUGUGAGGUGUGCCACCCUCUGAACCUUGUAACAACAUCAGCAAUUACCCCUCUGACC